GCGAAAGUGGUGGAAUGGCAGACACGCCAGACUUAGGAUCUGGUGCCGCAAGGCGUGGGGGUUCAAGUCCCCCCUUUCGCA
rnacentral:tRNA from 1 species